AUGGGAGCGGGCAGGGUUUGAACCCUCGACUGUCAAUAAAUCUGAACGACAGUCCAGCGCGCAAACCGCACAGUGACAGUCCUCAUAUAAUCUUUUCUGGAUUACAUAUUAGACAGUAAUCCAGCCAUUAUUGAGAUAAUCAUAAAAAAGGAGAAACAAGAAAAAAGAAUCAAGUAACAAUGUACAUAUAAAAAAAUGGAGAAUCCAGAAGCUUUAUUGGAUUUUUUAACCAUCAGGUCAUGGAAAGAACGUUACCACACAGA
rnacentral:sRNA from 1 species